rfam:Salmo salar isolate Sally breed double haploid chromosome ssa07, whole genome shotgun sequence.
UGUAUUCACUACUAUUAGUCGCUCUGGAUAAGAGCGUCUGCUAAAUGACUAAAA